rnacentral:rRNA from 1 species
GUAACAAGGUUUCCGUAGGUGAACCUGCGGAAGAAUCAUUGUCGAAAUCUCGUGGAGCAGCGUGACUUGAGAACAUGUCCAAAUCCAAUACCAAGGGCGCCGGGUCCAUCAUAUGGGUCCAGCCCCUGCGAACAAAAACACCGGCGCAGCAGCGCCAAGGAAUUUGCAAUGAGAACGCUGGCUUGCAAAGCUCGCCCUUAGAGCUUGCGCGGGUUGCGUCUACGUAAGAAAAUGACUCUCGGCAAUGGAUAUCUCGGCUCUUGCAUCGAUGAAGAACGUAGCGAAAUGCGAUACUUGGUGUGAAUUGCAGAAUCCCGUGAACCAUCGAAUCUUUGAACGCAAGUUGCGCCUGAAGCCCAUAAGGUUGAGGGCACGUUUGCUUGGGUGUCACGCAUCGUGUCUCUCCCCUCGCGCUUUGGGGUUGGAGCGGAUAAUGGCCUCCCGGGCCCAACGUCGGGCGUGGUUGGCCGAAAAUCUUGUCCAUGAUGAUGUUCGAUGUCUUGGCGUGUGGUGGGUGUACCAAUUGGUAUAUAGUCUCGUCUUGCACGGCCCGAUUGUCGGCUUGGCCCUUUGGAGUAGACGGAGUUUGCUCUUUGAUUGCGACCCCAAGUCAAGCGGGACUACCCGCUGAGUUUAAGCA